rnacentral:rRNA from 1 species
UACGUAGGGGGCAAGCGUUGUCCGGAAUCAUUGGGCGUAAAGCGCGUGUAGGCGGUCCGGUAAGUCGGCUGUGAAAGUCCAGGGCUCAACCCUGGGAUGCCGGUCGAUACUGCCGGACUAGAGUUCGGAAGAGGCGAGUGGAAUUCCCGGUGUAGCGGUGAAAUGCGCAGAUAUCGGGAGGAACACCAAUGGCGAAGGCAGCUCGCUGGGACGUUACUGACGCUGAGACGCGAAAGCGUGGGGAGCAAACAGA